GAUGAAGAACGUAGCGAAAUGCGAUAAGUAGUGUGAAUUGCAGAAUUCCGUGAAUCAUCGAAUCUUUGAACGCACAUUGCGCCUUCUGGUAUUCCGGAAGGCAUGCCUGUUCGAGAGUCAUUAACAACCGUUUCGAUCCCUUUCUUUCAGAAAUUACAAAGAGGAAAAGGGUCUGGUUAUGGUGGAGGAGGGAAAGGGAGCGUUUAGCCUGUAAAAAAAGAGGCUGUGUUCCGCCUCCCCCCCAAAAUUGUACAGGCGGUCGUGUGCGCCCACGCAUCGAGGUGUUGUAAAAGCUGCCACGGCACUUUUCACCUGUGCAGUGCGAGAUUGGCCAGCCGGUUUAAAAACCCCUCCAAACAAUCAAAGGUUGACCUCGGAUCAGGUAGGGAUACCCGCUGAACUUAAGCAUAUCAAUAAGCGGAGGA
rnacentral:misc_RNA from 1 species